rnacentral:tRNA from 1 species
UUGGUGCCCCAUUCCUGACUUGAACAGAAUUCGCCGGGUUACAAAGCCGGUGCAUCACCAUAAAUGCUUAAAGGGCA